rnacentral:rRNA from 1 species
AAUAAGUUAAGUAAGGGCGUAUGGCGGAUGCCUAGGCUCUCAGAGACGAUGAAGGACGUGAUAAGCUGCGAAAAGCUACGGGGAGGGGCACAUACCUUAUAAUCCGUAGAUCUCCGAAUGGGGCAACCCGGCACAGUGAAGCUGUGUCACCACGUAAGUGGAGUAAACCCGGUGAACUGAAACAUCUAAGUAACCGGA